UUCUUCUCGGGCCAAGCCUCGUC
rnacentral:snRNA from 1 species